GAUCCUGGCUCAGGAUGAACGCUAGCUACAGGCUUAACACAUGCAAGUCGAGGGGCAGCAUGGGAGUUGCUUGCAAUCCUGAUGGCGACCGGCGCACGGGUGAGUAACGCGUAUCCAACCUUCCCCUAGUAGGGCAUAGCCCGGUGAAAAUCGGAUUAAUACCCUAUGUUCUUCACAGCAGACAUCUAACGUGAAGCAAAGGUUUACCGCUAAGGGAUGGGGAUGCGUCUGAUUAGGUAGUAGGCGGGGUAACGGCCCACCUAGCCUUCGAUCAGUAGGGGUUCUGAGAGGAAGGUCCCCCACAUUGGAACUGAGACACGGUCCAAACUCCUACGGGAGGCAGCAGUGAGGAAUAUUGGUCAAUGGGCGAGAGCCUGAACCAGCCAAGUAGCGUGCAAGGAUGACGGCCCUAUGGGUUGUAAACUGUCUUUUAUAUGGGGAUAAAGUUCACCACGUGUGGUGUUUUGCAGGUACCAUAUGAAUAAGGACCGGCUAAUUCCGUGCCAGCAGCAGC
rnacentral:rRNA from 1 species